GAUGAACGCUGGCGGCGUGCCUAAUACAUGCAAGUCGAGCGAACAGACGAGGAGCUUGCUCCUCUGACGUUAGCGGCGGACGGGUGAGUAACACGUGGAUAACCUACCUAUAAGACUGGGAUAACUUCGGGAAACCGGAGCUAAUACCGGAUAAUAUAUUGAACCGCAUGGUUCAAUAGUGAAAGGCGGUUUUGCUGUCACUUAUAGAUGGAUCCGCGCCGCAUUAGCUAGUUGGUAAGGUAACGGCUUACCAAGGCAACGAUGCGUAGCCGACCUGAGAGGGUGAUCGGCCACACUGGAACUGAGACACGGUCCAGACUCCUACGGGAGGCAGCAGUAGGGAAUCUUCCGCAAUGGGCGAAAGCAUGACGGAGCAACGCCGCGUGAGUGAUGAAGGUCUUCGGAUCGUAAAACUCUGUUAUUAGGGAAGAACAAAUGUGUAAGUAACUAUGCACGUCUUGACGGUACCUAAUCAGAAAGCCACGGCUAACUACGUG
rnacentral:rRNA from 1 species